CUCAAAGCACACAUUGCACCUCAUACUGUAAGACCCCCUUUUGGGGACCCCUACUCUAGUCUCGGGAGUGUAAGAGCACCCAAAGAAAUACAAAAACCC
rnacentral:pre_miRNA from 7 species